UACGUAGGGUGCGAGCGUUGUCCGGAAUUACUGGGCGUAAAGAGCUCGUAGGCGGUGUGUCGCGUCGGCCGUGAAAACCUGGGGCUCAACUCUGGGCGUGCGGUCGAUACGGGCAUCACUGGAGUUCGGCAGGGGAGACUGGAAUUCCUGGUGUAGCGGUGAAAUGCGCAGAUAUCAGGAGGAACACCGGUGGCGAAGGCGGGUCUCUGGGCCGAUACUGACGCUGAGGAGCGAAAGCGUGGGGAGCGAACAGG
rnacentral:rRNA from 1 species